rfam:Catenaria anguillulae PL171 BCR44scaffold_55, whole genome shotgun sequence.
GGGGCGUUGGCGCAACGGUAGCGCGUCUGACUCCAGAUCAGAAGGUUGGGUGUUCGAAUCACUCACGCCUCA